UGUAAAUGCAGUUGCAAUAAGCAAACGUUGCUUUUUUUCCCCAUAUUUCUUAAAGUAUGUAUGAGUAAAGAUUUGAUAAAGUGUGUAUAAGGUCCAAUAACCUCAACUAAAUACAUAAGCUAAUAAUCUAAUUUCAGUUAUUUUUAUGAUGAGAAUUACUGCAGUCAUAUAUGCAUCAGUAUGUGUGAGAUCAUCUGCAAUAUCUCUGUUCUGCUUUUACAGCUGCUAAAUGUAAGCAGACUAUACUUGUAGAGAUGCUCACCUCAGACAAAACGCAUGUGACUACAACACAAACAGCAUCACAGUUCAUUAGUUUUGUUGCUACUUUAAUUGCUUCUUCACUCUGGAUGUAGAGACACAGAGGAGUAACACAUUUUUUCUCUUAACAUGUAACAAAUUUCUUUAAAUAUUUUAAUAUUUUGUAGUAACCAAGGGAAGUGUCAUCGCUGAAGGAAUGGCAGACGUUACUCAGACACUUGUGAACACUGAGCAAUGGUUGGAGUCCAAGACAGUGGACAUCAUCUUUGUUAUACUUCUGACUGGACUAGCAGCGAGCAUUAAAGCCAAUGAGAAAAACUCAAAAGAAGGUACUUUGAAGAAUGCUGGUAAUCAAACCCAAGAAGUUUGUCAGGUAUGGACAGUAUGAAGGGGACUAAAUGAUUUAAAUUUUUUGGGUGAACUCUCUUUAAUUGGCAUGCUACACAUUAAAUAUUAAUCGUGCUGGGCACAGCCACUUAUUGUGCUGUCAUUGCAGUUAGUGCUGUAAAUAGUCUGUCAAAUAAACAGGUACAUUGCUACAACCUAACUUUAAUGUAGUUCACAUUGAUCCAUUACGUUAGACCUUUACUAAUAGAUACUUGUAUAUUAUUUGCUCUUUACAGGUGCAGAAAUUAAAGUUCCCAAAAUAAGAUGUCACCAGAUUAAGAAGUGCAAAGACAUGUUACACCACCGCAACCAUAAAUCCUGAGCGAUUUGAAAAUGGGCAACAACCAAGAAAAAGUACUCAUUGUUUCACUUAAAAAUGAGCCAUGGUAAUAGUUGUUAAUGAUUAGAUAAAUAAAUUAAAGUACAAAAUGUGAUUAAUUUUUAUAAUUUUUACUAAUGUGUUGUUCAAAACACUAAGUUUUGGUGUCUCUUUACAAUAAGUAUUGUUAGUUAACGUUAGUAAAUGUUGAAAUUAACAUUAACAAUGAGCAAUACAUUUGUUACAAUAUGCAUUAAUCUUUGGUACUGUUAUUAAACAACAACUGUUCUUUGUUAGUUCAUGUUAGCUUUGAUCCAUUAAAUAACGUCAACAGACACAACUUUUGUUCUAAAUAAUGUAUUCGUAAAUGUUGAAAUUAACUAGGUUAAUAUAUUAACUACAGUUAACCAAGGUUAAUGUUAAGUAUUUGUCAUGUUAGUUCAUGUUGGGUAGGUAACUAAUGUUAACAAAUGAAACCUU
ensembl:lncRNA